CGGUUAAGUUAGAAAGGGCGCACGGUGGAUGCCUUGGCACUAGGAGCCGAUGAAGGACGGGACGAACACCGAUAUGCUUCGGGGAGCUGUAAGCAAGCUUUGAUCCGGAGAUUUCCGAAUGGGGAAACCCACCACUCGUAAUGGAGUGGUAUCCAUAUCUGAAUACAUAGGAUAUGAGAAGGCAGACCCGGGGAACUGAAACAUCUAAGUACCCGGAGGAAGAGAAAGCAAAUGCGAUUCCCUGAGUAGCGGCGAGCGAAACGGGACCAGCCCAAACCAAGAGGCUUGCCUCUUGGGGUUGUAGGACACUCUGUACGGAGUUACAAAGGAACGAGGUAGAUGAAGAGGUCUGGAAAGGCCCGCCAUAGGAGGUAACAGCCCUGUAGUCAAAACUUCGUUCUCUCCUGAGUGGAUCCUGAGUACGGCGGAACACGUGAAAUUCCGUCGGAAUCCGGGAGGACCAUCUCCCAAGGCUAAAUACUCCCUAGUGACCGAUAGUGAACCAGUACCGUGAGGGAAAGGUGAAAAGCACCCCGGAAGGGGAGUGAAAGAGAUCCUGAAACCGUGUGCCUACAAGUAGUCAGAGCCCGUUAAUGGGUGAUGGCGUGCCUUUUGUAGAAUGAACCGGCGAGUUACGAUCCCGUGCAAGGUUAAGCAGAAGAUGCGGAGCCGCAGCGAAAGCGAGUCUGAAUAGGGCGAAUUGAGUACGUGGUCGUAGACCCGAAACCAGGUGAUCUACCCAUGUCCAGGGUGAAGUUCAGGUAACACUGAAUGGAGGCCCGAACCCACGCACGUUGAAAAGUGCGGGGAUGAGGUGUGGGUAGGGGUGAAAUGCCAAUCGAACCUGGAGAUAGCUGGUUCUCUCCGAAAUAGCUUUAGGGCUAGCCUCAAGGUAAGAGUCUCGGAGGUAGAGCACUGAUUGGACUAGGGGCCCCUACCGGGUUACCGAAUUCAGUCAAACUCCGAAUGCCGAUGACUUAUCCUUGGGAGUCAGACUGCGAGUGAUAAGAUCCGUAGUCGAAAGGGAAACAGCCCAGACCGCCAGCUAAGGUCCCAAAGUAUACGUUAAGUGGAAAAGGAUGUGGAGUUGCUUAGACAACCAGGAUGUUGGCUUAGAAGCAGCCACCAUUUAAAGAGUGCGUAAUAGCUCACUGGUCGAGUGACUCUGCGCCGAAAAUGUACCGGGGCUAAACGUAUCACCGAAGCUGCGGACUGUUCUUCGAACAGUGGUAGGAGAGCGUUCUAAGGGCUGUGAAGCAAGACCGGAAGGACUUGUGGAGCGCUUAGAAGUGAGAAUGCCGGUAUGAGUAGCGAAAGAGGGGUGAGAAUCCCCUCCACCGAAUGCCUAAGGUUUCCUGAGGAAGGCUCGUCCGCUCAGGGUUAGUCGGGACCUAAGCCGAGGCCGAAAGGCGUAGGCGAUGGAUAACAGGUUGAUAUUCCUGUACCACCUCCUCACCAUUUGAGCAAUGGGGGGACGCAGGAGGAUAGGGUAAGCGCGGUAUUGGAUAUCCGCGUCCAAGCAGUUAGGCUGGGAAAUAGGCAAAUCCGUUUCCCGUGAAGGCUGAGCUGUGAUGGCGAGCGAAUUAUAGUAGCGAAGUUCCUGAUUCCACACUGCCAAGAAAAGCCUCUAGCGAGGUGAGAGGUGCCCGUACCGCAAACCGACACAGGUAGGCGAGGAGAGAAUCCUAAGGUGAUCGAGAGAACUCUCGUUAAGGAACUCGGCAAAAUGACCCCGUAACUUCGGGAGAAGGGGUGCUCUGUUAGGGUGCAAGCCCGAGAGAGCCGCAGUGAAUAGGCCCAGGCGACUGUUUAGCAAAAACACAGGUCUCUGCGAAGCCGUAAGGCGAAGUAUAGGGGCUGACGCCUGCCCGGUGCUGGAAGGUUAAGAGGAGCGCUUAGCGUAAGCGAAGGUGCGAAUUGAAGCCCCAGUAAACGGCGGCCGUAACUAUAACGGUCCUAAGGUAGCGAAAUUCCUUGUCGGGUAAGUUCCGACCCGCACGAAAGGCGCAACGAUCUGGGCACUGUCUCAACGAGAGACUCGGUGAAAUUAUAGUACCUGUGAAGAUGCAGGUUACCCGCGACAGGACGAAAAGACCCCGUGGAGCUUUACUGCAGCCUGAUAUUGAAUGUUGGUACAGCUUGUACAGGAUAGGUAGGAGCCUUGGAAACCGGAGCGCCAGCUUCGGUGGAGGCAUCGGUGGGAUACUACCCUGGCUGUAUUGACCUUCUAACCCGCCGCCCUUAUCGGGCGGGGAGACAGUGUCAGGUGGGCAGUUUGACUGGGGCGGUCGCCUCCUAAAAGGUAACGGAGGCGCCCAAAGGUUCCCUCAGAAUGGUUGGAAAUCAUUCGCAGAGUGUAAAGGCACAAGGGAGCUUGACUGCGAGACCUACAAGUCGAGCAGGGACGAAAGUCGGGCUUAGUGAUCCGGUGGUUCCGCAUGGAAGGGCCAUCGCUCAACGGAUAAAAGCUACCCCGGGGAUAACAGGCUUAUCUCCCCCAAGAGUCCACAUCGACGGGGAGGUUUGGCACCUCGAUGUCGGCUCAUCGCAUCCUGGGGCUGUAGUCGGUCCCAAGGGUUGGGCUGUUCGCCCAUUAAAGCGGUACGCGAGCUGGGUUCAGAACGUCGUGAGACAGUUCGGUCCCUAUCCGUCGCGGGCGCAGGAAAUUUGAGAGGAGCUGUCCUUAGUACGAGAGGACCGGGAUGGACGCACCGCUGGUGUACCAGUUGUUCUGCCAAGGGCAUCGCUGGGUAGCUAUGUGCGGACGGGAUAAGUGCUGAAAGCAUCUAAGCAUGAAGCCCCCCUCAAGAUGAGAUUUCCCAUUCCGCAAGGAAGUAAGAUCCCUGAAAGAUGAUCAGGUUGAUAGGUCUGAGGUGGAAGUGUGGCGACACAUGGAGCUGACAGAUACUAAUCGAUCGAGGACUUAACCAAUUU
rnacentral:rRNA from 1 species